rnacentral:tRNA from 1 species
GAGUCGUUAGCUCAGUCGGUAGAGCACCGGACUUUUAACCCGGGUGUCCCGGGUUCGAGUCCCGGACGACUCACCA